UUGCACAGCGGCAACAAAGCAGAACAAUUGAGAUAGAUCUCACAUAUAACUAGCCUCUUAAGGGAAAAAAAAAGCUCUCGGUUUCAGUUCUUCAACAAUAUUCGACUCACAGCAAUGCGACUUCCCCAUAAGAAACUCUGAACACCAUUACUUCCCAGCAGCGGUAUCUCUGUCAUUAAUCCCUCUCAUCCAUCUCCUUAGUUUCCCUUAUCCUCGUUUAGUACCCUAAAUCUCGAAUUAGGGUUUUUCAUGUUGGUAGAAUUUCAGUCUAUUUUUUUCAGUUUUGAUCUGCUAAUUUUUGUUUUCUGGUUACAGUAUUGCAGCUUAGUCUCAUUGGAUUUGGGUCAUAUCUGUGCACACCACCUGUUCGAUGAAAUGCCUCAUAGAACCUUCAAAUUUUAAUUGGGUGGGAAAGCAGUAUCUUUCAGCUUUCUGUUUAAUUGGGUGCUGGAAAUUGAGCAUUUUGGGUGUGAAAGUUGCAAUCUUUACAUCAGGUUUUAGGUGGUGGUGUUGUUGAAAGCUAGAUUUCUUUUGAGUUUAUAUUAUUGCACACCCAACAAUGAUAUCAGGGGUAACUGUUUCUCACCAGAAAAGCUACAUGAUUUGUUAAAGCAGACAAACAUUAUGCCUCUGAUUCUCACACCAGGUUUGUUGCACUCGGUAUUUCUUUGCUGGAGAGGAGCUGACUCCAACAUAGAUAGAUGUUCCAGAGGCCAGCCAACAGUAUCCUCUACUUAGACCAGAAGAGCUCCAUUUGCAAAUUGUAAGGUGGUAGUUAUUUUGUUACUAAACUAAGAUGCAUCAGUUCAACUGACUUGUCAGUGAUGCCCAUUUAUGAUGCCUGUUCAUCUUCUAAUAUGUUUCCAUUUCAUUUUAUUAGUCAAUUUGGAUUUUUUCUUUCACCUUUUAAAUGUUUUAUCAUUUACUCAAUGCUUAUGGCUUAUGCUGCUCAGGUUUUCAUUUUAUUCAGCGAUAGUUCAAUGUACAUCCUUUGUCCAAUUGUUUCAUUUGAAAGAAGUCCCCGAAGUCCCCGAGUAAGAGUAGCUUCUUGGUUGGGGAGUUCAAAUCAUGAAGUCAUCAAGCAUAAGUAAUAUCUGAGAGGCGCACGGCCCCUACAAGUCCCCGAGCUCCGCAAGCAAGAAGGGACUCGCUAUCCUGUAUCACAAAAGACAAAAAUUCGUAUAUGUAGUUACAUCGGAGGUGCACUAAUGUAUGAAGUGCAUGAGAUAAUGGGGUGUCGCCCUGCCGCAUGGCGGUAGGUCGUGGACCAUAGACUCGUGGAGCCCGGAGGCUAGACCAUAUGUAAGAAGCAUUGUGAACCGAGAGCGUAACUAAAGCAUGUUGGAUAAGUGGAGCGAGUUAGGUGUUCGAGCAAGUUGGGUGUAGGCGCUGUAUGAGCGUGCGGGGCGUAGCCCAAGCGAGUCGCGGCCAUGCUUUGAUACCCAAGCGAGUCAUAACCGUUUCGCAAGCAUUUAUCCGAGCAUGUUUAAUUGAGCUAUAAGUGUCACAAGGUUCUAGAUGAAUGUCACAUGAAAGUGAAUUUAAGCAUGUAUGUGUGUAGCAUGUACUUGUAGGAAAGUUGCUAAUAACAUGUUGUAGGCAUGCUUAAGGGUUAUAGAGACAUGUAUAGACAUGGCAAUAGCUCUAAUCGCAAGAGCGGAAAAGAUAAGAAAUAGUGACUUAUCUUAUGCCGAUUUGGAGCGAGUUGGAGUUGGCCGAGCGUGACGGUCCAUUGCUUGUGGCGGAUAAAGUAUUCCGAUAAUGUCCGUCAACUCGUAGUUGCGCUUGAAUGCUUGAUAGAAAUAAUUGAAUUUCCUUAGAACGAAAUAGGUGAUUAGUUCAUGAGUAUGUAGAAUCAAUACUAGUAUUUUGCAUAUGUACUUUGACAAAAUUGUAAGCAAAGUAUAUGUGAAGUUGUAGUUGAUGGCAGAAUGACAUAUUUAAUUAUGUGCUCUAAUAUGCA